AGGAAAAUUCCAGAAGGACAUUGAUUCAUUUCGAGCGAAUAGGAAUACCGAAGUUGAAGAUUAGUGUGGACGCCAGGACUGCAUCAAGUAAUGGAAGAUUGGUGCUCGCUUAUUAGUUAUCAUCAGACCAUUUGACCUUCCACUAUGUCAUGGACUCUUGUGGUAAUUAGAGAAUUUCUGUGUUUCUUUACCUAGGUACCAUAAUACGUUAUCUAUGUGAGAUACAUCUUCUCUGGUAGCGACAAAUCCCGGGGAGUUGGAAGACUGCCAAGAAACUGUUGGUUACACAGUUUUUGAGCUUGGAUUUGCUACCACCCUUUUAAUCGAUUUAUAGAGAUUCGAGCUGAUGGGUUCUUAGCUAGAGUAUCUUAGAAUAUGUUGUGUCACCUGGCCAUGUGAUUGGAGUGCACGUGAGAUUGUUUUGAGACCUUAACUAGUUUGUUGAACACCUGAACCAACUACCGAAUUUAAACAUUCA